rfam:Alkaliphilus oremlandii OhILAs, complete genome.
ACAAUAAAUGGGCAAACCUAGGGACGCAAAGCUUGAGUCUACGGUUAUCUCAAAGAUAAUUACGAUCGUUCAGCUGCAUAG